GUCUAUGUAGCUUACAAUCAAAGCAUGACACUGAAGAUGUCAGGACGGUUGCCACAAACACCCAUAGACA
rnacentral:tRNA from 1 species